UUGUUCAUGCAAAGCUGAAGACCUCACAAAAAUGUUAAUAGUAAAUCAAGUUGUAUAUGGAAGUCCACAGCCAAGAAGGGUUUCUUAAGGUAGUAUGUCUCAAGAAUGGGCACAUAAUAAAAUAAAAACAUAUUUUAUACCUUAGUAUGAUAAACAUUUUGUAGUUAUGUAAGUUGCAGCCAUACAUAAGUACAUUGCUUAAAUCAUCCAAAGCAAUAGAAAUCCAAAGUUAAAUAGAAAUCACCCAAGUUACUGGAAAAUCCUCAACAAGGAAAUCAAGCUCAUGCCACUGCCCAUAGUGGAAAAGGGCAAAGACACCAAUGCAAAGCAAUUACAUCAGCCAGACUCAGUGUGUGAUCACCAGCACCAAAUAAAUUAGUAAUUAACAAAGAUGGUAAUUUUUGAUUGAAUUAAACAACAGGAAUACAAUCAAAAUACCAGUUUUAUAGUGUGUGAUUAUAGUUAACAACUUAUUACAACAAAUUGUGAUGUAACAUCAACAAGUUGUAUAAUUUGCUGCCUCUUUGCAUUACAUUUGCUUUAGGUAAGUUGUUGGAUUGGUUGUGAUUGUAUUUUUCAUCAAUAGACUGAACUACUUGGUAUAUCAGAUGAAGUGAACCAGAUUCACAUAUGGAAAAAGUAAAAGCAUACUUUAACAAUCACUAAGGUCUGGUUGCAUGUGGUAACAUAAGUGAUUACAUAUUUUUUUCCCUAAUUGAGCGUAAACUGAAGACUACCUGUGGCUGUCAUUUUGUUUAUUGAAACUUGCAGAUGAGGAAAUUCAACUGGGUAUAAUAGUGUGUAUAUCCCAGCACUGAGAAGGUUGCAACAGAUGUGCCAUGCAUCCAAGCACAGUCUGGACUAGACUGUGAAUCUCUGACUCAGCAAACAAAUAAAACAACAAUAAAAAUGGAAAACAAAGGGAAAAAGAUUGUUAUGAAAAAUUUUAUAGAAAAUUGUAAUGGUAUUGACUUUUCUUUUUCAUAUCUUUUUUUACCACACAUUUCAGAAUAGACACCUAUACCACUCUCAUCUCAGUCUUCCGACUACCCUCAGUCUCAUACUCUAGGAAAGAAAAUUUUAAAUGAAUAUACAAAGAUGAGAAUUGUCUCCUACAGAGCUGGGAACUAAGCUUAAUUAUCAUUAGCUAAAAACACUUAUGACCAUAUGUAGUAGAUGCUCAAGUCAUAUCAAUUCAGUGAGAAGAAGAGGUUUAUAUGAUUUCCUGACAUUGAACAUAAUAACAUCACGUUGGUAAUUGGCUAUAAAAAAGUAUUUAUACCAUGGAAUCAGUGGCAAAAAUGUUAAAACAUGGUCCUUUUUCUUAUACGCAUGGAACUAAAUUCUAAGCAUCAACAAGGGAACAAUUGGCCAUAGCUGAAAAAGUGGCAGAAAAAAAAUUAAACCCACUAAGUACCAUUAUUCUUUGGUCAGAGAAAGGAAAAAUGAUAGGAAACAAGCAAGCCAAACAAAGAAGGGACUUAGUUUACACUCUGUUAAAUUAAUAUAAUUGCCAAUUUAAAAUUACUACAGAAUGAAUAUAAGAACAAAUAAUUCUCAGGAUAAAAUUAGUCACACACUAGUACAAAACAUUUUAAGAUAAAAUUAUAAAGAUAUUCAGGACACAUAGAUAGAUCUAAAAGGAUUCAGUUAUCUACUAUAUAUUUCACAAGUAAUAUAAAUAUUUCACAAAUAACAGAGUGAAAAAAUGGAAAAGAAGAAAAGGUCAAAUUCUUAAUAUAGAAAAAAUUUCCUUAGAGACUCUCAGCUAAGAUCAUCUUUGUUAAAUCUAAUACUUGUAGGAUUAAAGAAAAACUUCUGUAACUUUCAGAAUUUAAAAAAUGUGGUGUUUAAAUUAAAUUUAGAAACAGAGUGGCUUGUUAAAGAGUAAGAAUGAAUUUCUGGUUUACUACAGAUAGACAUCUAAACUGAAAAACAAAUCAGCAGGUUAUAUAAAAUUGUGAGCUGUGCACAGUGUGCAUCUUUUAUAAACGUCAACCCAGGGACAUAGAAAAAAGUACUCAAGGAGCUGAAGGGAUCUGCAAUCCUAUAGGUGGAACAACAAUAUGAACUAACCAAUACCAACCCCCCGAGAUUGUGUCUCUAGCUGCAUAUGAAUCAGAAGAUGGCCUAGUCGGCCAUGAGUGGAAGGAGAGGCCCAUUGGUCAUGCAAACUUUAUAUGCCUCAGUACGGGGGAACGCCAGGGCCAAGAAGUGGGGGUGGGUGGGUAGGGGAGUGGGUGGGGGAGCAUGUGGGGGACUUUUGGGAUAGCAUUGGAAAUGUAAUUGAAAUAAAUACCCAAUAAAAAAUAUGGAAAAAAAGAGACAAGUUCAGCCUAAAUAUUUAUCUCUUGAUAACUAUAAAAUUAAUUUAAAUAGUGAACUUUAUUGGAACCUAUGCAGAAAAUUAAAAUAAUAGUCUAUGUUAGAAUUUAUUCAUAUACAAUAAGUACAUUAUGGAUUGUAUGAGAGAUAAUUUGCUAAACAAUGAAUGAAAAUGCUAUGCAUUGCAUGCUGGAGGUAUAGUACAUAUC
rnacentral:lncRNA from 1 species